rnacentral:lncRNA from 1 species
UAAUUACAGAAUUGAAGAAAUAACCAUAUAUUGGUGAAUUAUAAUUAAGGUUAAGUCAAGGUGAAACAACAAUAUUCAUAGCUAAAUCACAACCCCAGAGCUAUGGGUUUUAUCCACUCAUGAUAAUAUCAAAACUAAUUCAUAAAUGUUGAAUAAUUAAAAAUAAUAAGAAAAGAUGAAGAAAACUGAGAUAUCCUCGCUCCCGAAUGUUCCUCGUGUGUAUUUUUCCUCUAAAGUGGCGUACCCCCCUUCAAAAUAGGCUUAGUCUUGCUUUUAUACGCGUUGGGUAGGUCUUGUGCUGAAAUAACCUUGUCCCCGGCAAGUUGGAAACAUUUCUGUCACCAGCGCCCAAGGCAGCGUGGGGCACUAGCCCUGGCGCUGGCAAAUUGAGCAUUCUGUAAACGGCGCCACAGGUGGCGUGGGGCGCUGGAAUUCAACAUUUUCCAUUUUUUCUCCGUUUUGGCUCAUAUCUCGCAUCUUUCGCCCCCUAUUUCCUCCAGAUAAUUCCUACACAUAAGAACACCACGAAUUAACAUAAAUCAAUAUAUUUUACAUCUGAAAUUCACGAAACGCGAGAAAAACAUGAGGCGAUAUAUAUAUACUUUAAGAUAAAUAUCAACACCCCACACUCAGACUCUUGCUCAUCCUCGAGCAAUGGGACUAUCAAAUAUACCUCAACCACGUACAAAUCUCAACUAGAGAGGAACACUUCAAUUUGUUUUACCAUACACGCUACCCUUGACUAUGAUCGACACCGAAAAUCAAGCAUGAACAUACAAAAUUCACAUUCUUAUUAUUUUAAACAUGUCCAAGUCUAUCAUUUCAAUUCAAUCAAUAUAAUCCAAACAACCUAUCUGUAACCACCCUACCUCAAGAGCUGACUCGUUACCACUAAGCACUCAACUUGUGCACUCACCCAACAAGAGACGUUUACAACAUUAGCAAUCCUCCACGAGAUCAUGUGGCCUUACAAACAAACAAAAGAAUGAAUAUAGAAUAGUCUACAUAUUCAAGUAUUCCUUUGAAUAUAAAUUAAGGACAUCACACAAUUAAACAAAAUUCGCUCACUCUCAUAAAGAAUUUCUGUGCAUUCCAUGGUCGUACUAUAAGUUUGCCCGUAGUGUACAUCUCUACUAAUCUAAGCUAGCCAAAUCAAGAAUCAUUUAGGACUGUAAGAUUGUAAUGUAGGCUAAGGAACAUGUAGGAUACAUUUAGUGCACCAAAUGGCCUUUUUAUGGUUCCACUUGAAAGCUACUCCCCAAUUUCUCACCUUACUUCUUUAAGGCCACAUGGAGGAUUAGAGUGAAAAAGGAAAGGGAUGACAAGAAAUUGAAUGGAGAAAAUGCGAACAAAGGAGGGGAAACACAAUCAGAGGAUAGGGUAUAAGACAAAAGUAAUAAUGUACAAAGGGAAGUAGAAUAGCAAAGUAAUUCAAAAGAUAGUAACCAAUG